UAACAAGGUUUCCGUAGGUGAACCUGCGGAAGGAUCAUUACCAAUUCAACGGUGUGGUCGCGGCCUCCGGGGGCUCCCCCCGGGCGGUAGAGGUAACACUCUUACGCGCCACAUGUCUGAAUCCUUUUUUUACGAGCACCUUUCGUUCUCCUUCGGUGGGGCAACCUGCCGUUGGAACUUAUCAAAACCUUUUUUGCAUCUAGCAUUACCUGUUCAGAUACAAACAAUCGUUACAACUUUCAACAAUGGAUCUCUUGGCUCUGGCAUCGAUGAAGAACGCAGCGAAAUGCGAUAAGUAGUGUGAAUUGCAGAAUUCAGUGAAUCAUCGAAUCUUUGAACGCACAUUGCGCCCCUUGGUAUUCCAUGGGGCAUGCCUGUUCGAGCGUCAUCUACACCCUCAAGCUCUGCUUGGUGUUGGGCGUCUGUCCCGCCUCUGCGCGUGGACUCGCCCCAAAUUCAUUGGCAGCGGUCUUUGCCUCCUCUCGCGCAGCACAUUGCGCUUUAGAGGGGUGUGGGCCGCGUCCACGAAGCAACAUUAUCGUCUUUGACCUCGGAUCAGGUAGGGAUACCCGCUGAACUUAAGCAUAUCAAUAA
rnacentral:misc_RNA from 1 species